rnacentral:rRNA from 1 species
AAGACCUUGCGCUUUUGGAGCGGCCGAUGUCUGAUUAGCUUGUUGGUAAGGUAAAAGCUUACCAAGGCUUCGAUCAGUAGCUGGUCUGAGAGGACGGCCAGCCACACUGGGACUGAGACACGGCCCAGACUCCUACGGGAGGCAGCAGUGGGGAAUUUUGGACAAUGGGGGCAACCCUGAUCCAGCCAUGCCGCGUGAGUGAAGAAGGCCUUCGGGUUGUAAAGCUCUUUCAGCCGGAACGAAACGGUUACGGUUAAUACCUGUGAUUACUGACGGUACCGGAAGAAGAAGCACCGGCUAACUACGUGCCAGCAGCCGCGGUAAUACGUAGGGUGCGAGCGUUAAUCGGAAUUACUGGGCGUAAAGGGUGCGCAGGCGGUUUUGUAAGUCAGAUGUGAAAUCCCCGGGCUUAACCUGGGAACU